GCCAGCAUAGCUCAGUAGGUAGAGCGCCGUCUUUGUAAUUCGGAUGCCCGGGGUUCGAAUCCUCGUGCUGGCUCCA
rnacentral:tRNA from 1 species